rnacentral:lncRNA from 1 species
UUGCAGCUAGCUUGCAGGAGGUCGGCGAUCGGCAAGGAUGAAGAUUGCGAUCGCCUUCGUGCUGCUGUUUUCUCUCCUCGCCGUCUCGUCCACGGCGGAGAAGUUCGAUUUCUUCUACCUGGUACAGCAGGUGAUGAACGAUUUCAGAGUAUUCAUAAUUCAAUACUUUCUGCUUCUAGUUCGACUUUCUAUAUGUAAUCGAAUUCGAGCUUUUUGAGAUGUUCAAGGUUCCCCUACUCAAUUCUUCCGAAUUUCGAUUAUUAGUACUCAGGAUCCUCUGUUUUCGAUCGAUUAUCUAACAAAUCUUUUAAUGAAAGUAUCGAUCCACCGUGACCAUCGAUCAAUAUCUAGACAUGCGUCUGUACAUAUUAUCCGAACGCGUUGCAUGCAUCGCCGGGUGGUCUGAAUUUAACCAGCCACACGGCCGACGAGUAUCUAACGACGCGUUCCCCGGUGCAUGCAGUGGCCGGGCUCGUUCUGCGACACGCGGCAGGGCUGCUGCUUCCCGGACGCCGGGAAGCCGGCGGCGGACUUCGGCAUCCACGGGCUCUGGCCCAACUACGCCAAGUGCCGGGGCAGCCAGCUUCAGGGCCUCGCCCGCGCCGUGCUUGGCGAGGACGCCGCCGCCUUGUUCUCCGCCGUGGGGCGGCGGGGCAGGUGCUGGCCGGAGUACUGCAACGACGGCAACACGCUGAGCCCGUGGGAGAUCCGGGACCUGGUGGCGUCCCUGGACAGGAACUGGCCGACGCUGUCGUGCAAGAGCGGGCGCAGCUUCGAGUUCUGGAGCUACGAGUGGAAGAAGCACGGCACCUGCUCCAACCUCGAGCAGCACGAGUACUUCGCGCGCGCGCUGGAGCUCAAGGCGGCGCACAACCUGACGGCGAUCCUCGCCGGCGCCGGGAUCGUGCCGUCGAACACGGAGACAUACUCACUGAGCAGCGUGGGGGACGCCAUCGCCCAGGGGACCGGGUUCACGGCGAACCUCGAGUGCAACCGCGACGCCGACGGCGAGGCGCAGCUGUUCCAGGUGUACCUGUGCGUGGAUCGAGAGGUGAAGCAACUCAUCGACUGCCCGCUGUCCAUGCGAAGCAAGUGCACCGACCGGGUCAAGCUGCCAGUCUUCUGAUUGCUGCAUGCCCGCAUGCAUAUGGGCCAGUCGACUCCCCGCGCGUGCGUGUUUUAGAGCGGAUAUGAAU